CCUACGGGAGGCUGCAGUGAGGAAUAUUGGUCAAUGGGCGCGAGCCUGAACCAGCCAAGUAGCGUGAAGGAUGACUGCCCUACGGGUUGUAAACUUCUUUUAUAAAGGAAUAAAGUGAGGCACGUGUGCCUUUUUGUAUGUACUUUAUGAAAAAGGAUCGGCUAACUCCGUGCCAGCAGCCGCGGUAAUACGGAGGAUCCGGGCGUUAUCCGGAUUGAUUGGGUUUAAAGGGAGCGUAGAUGGGUUUUUAAGUCAGUUGUGAAAGUUUGCGGCUCAACCGUAAAAUUGCAAUUGAUACUGGCAGUCUUGAGUACAGUUGAGGUAGGCGGAAUUCGUGGUGUAGCGGUGAAAUGCUUAGAUAUCACGAAGAACCCCGAUUGCGAAGGCAGCUUACUAAACUGUGACUGACAUUGAUGCUCGAAAGUGUGGGUAUCAAACAGGAUUAGAUACCCUUGUAGUC
rnacentral:rRNA from 1 species